UUGGAGGGCAAGUCUGGUGCCAGCAGCCGCGGUAAUUCCAGCUCCAAUAGCGUAUAUUAAAGUUGUUGCAGUUAAAAAGCUCGUAGUUGAAUUUCGAGACCGGUCUACUGGUCGUGCUUUUGUACGUACUGGUUUUAUUGGUUUCUCCUUUCUGACGAACUAUAAUGCCAUUAAUUUGGUGUUAUGGGGAAUCAGGACUGUUACUUUGAAAAAAUUAGAGUGUUUAAAGCAGGCUCACGCUUGAAUACAUUAGCAUGGAAUAACGGAAUAGGACGUUUGAUUCUAUUUUGUUGGUUUCUAGGAUCGACGUAAUGAUUAAUAGGGAUAGUUGGGGGCAUUAGUAUUCAAUUGUCAGAGGUGAAAUUCUUGGAUUUAUUGAAGACUAACUACUGCGAAAGCAUUUGCCAAGGAUGUUUUCAUUAAUCAAGAACGAAAGUUAGGGGAUCGAAGACGAUCAGAUACCGUCGUAGUCUUAACCAUAAACUAUGCCGACUAGGGAUCGGAUGAUGUUAAUUUUUUAAUGACUCAUUCGGCGCCUUACGGGAAAC
rnacentral:rRNA from 2 species